rnacentral:rRNA from 1 species
AGAGUUUGAUCCUGGCUCAGAACGAACGUUGGCGGCGUGGAUUAGGCAUGCAAGUCGAACGAAUCCCAGGGGGGUAACUCUCUGGGGGAAGUGGCGAAAGGGGCAGUAAUGCGUGGAUAAUCUACCCUCGGGAUUGGGAUAGCCAUCCUAACGGAUGGGUAAUACCAAACGACAUGCACGGGAGGCAUCUUCUGUGUAUCAAAGGUCCGCUGCCCGGGGCGGAAUUCACGUGCUAUUAGCUUGUUGGUGAGGUAAUGGCUCACCAAGGCAAAGAUGGCUAGCAGGUGUGAGAGCACGACCUGCGCCACUGGCACUGCGACACUGGCCAGACUCCUACGGGAGGCUGCAGUCGAGGAUCUUCGGCAAUGGGCGCAAGCCUGACCGAGCGACGCCGCGUGCGCGAUGAAGGCCUUCGGGUUGUAAAGCGCUGUCGAGGGGGAGGAAAGGGCAACCCUGACCUAUCCCUGGAGGAAGCACGGGCUAAGUUCGUGCCAGCAGCCGCGGUAAGACGAACCGUGCGAACGUUGUUCGGAAUCACUGGGCUUAAAGGGCGCGUAGGCGGAUCACCAAGUCCGGGGUGAAAGCCCCCAGCUUAACUGGGGAAUGGCCUUGGAUACUGGUGGUCUGGAGGGAGAUAGGGGCAGUUGGAACUUCCGGUGGAGCGGUGAAAUGCGUUGAUAUCGGAAGGAACGCCGGUGGCGAAAGCGAACUGCUGGAUCUCUUCUGACGCUGAGGCGCGAAAGCCAGGGGAGCAAACGGGAUUAGAUACCCCGGUAGUCCUGGCCCUAAACGAUGGGUACUAGAUAGUAGACUGGACAUGGGUUUACUGUCGAAGCCAAAGUGCUAAGUACCCCGCCUGGGGAGUAUGGUCGCAAGGCUGAAACUCAAAGGAAUUGACGG